AGUGAAAGCAGGGUAAGGAGCUCGGAGAACCAAAUUCAGGAACCAUUCCUGGGAAUGGAAGCCAUGGGCCAGACACUUCUUCAAGUUCUCUUUGUCACAUAGCCCUGGAUCAGCUACGGCUCUGUAUAAGGAGUCUCCCCACUGGGCACCUUCAACACUGAAAUCUGUUGCCUUGGGAUGCUGGAGGUGACUCUAGGUUUAUGUCAAGUUGGCUUCUGCAGCUAACUAUGACAGUGCUGAGGACAUAGCCACGUUGAAAGAAGAGUGACCCCGUGUGUCUAGUCUUGCAACCUGAACACCCCAAGCUUCCUUUGGAGUUGGCAACAUGGAGGUCUCCUCCAUGGUACCAGUGCAGAGACCCUUUUCAUGGAGGCUGUAUCACUGAGACCUUGGUGAAUAAACUCUGAUCCCCAACACACUGGACGAGCCAAGUGCUACUGACCUCUGUACUUCCUUUUUAGGUGACUGCCAGCAAGGGGGAUGAGAGAACUAUCAAUAUCAAUACAACAUGGAUGGAAAUCAAACUGCUGAAUAGAAAGACUGGCCCUGAGAGUUCUCAUCUAUAACCUAUGACAGCAGUGGCACACGCCUUUAAUCCCGGCACUUGGGAGUCAGAGGCAG